GCUGAAACUUCUCGAUUAUUUUCCCAUACAUGCUAGGGCACCUCACGCCAUAUUCACUUAGCAGAUCAUGCCAUUUAAUCUCCAGGGCUCUGUCACCAGCAGUUUCCACGGUGAAGUGCAAACCUUGGUAUAUCCACCGCUUCGGUCCAGUAAGUCACCCCAUUGAGCCACUCACGUCUCGGUCUCAGAUGCUGGGUGCGACCCCAUUAAUGUUAUUCAAAAAUAUCUUACUCGUUUUAAUCUUGCGUAAUUUUGCGUGGAUUUUGUUUGUCGGAAAGAAGAGAGAACUGAGCUUCAACAUUCAACACAUGGGGUUCUAUUACAAAGUUCCCCUUCAUGCCGGUAGUUUAUUGAAAAGCGUUUUUUGUUGGGACCAGGGCUCGACAUCUUCGAAGAAAUAAACCUGAAAUCGACUUUCCUCUCAGUUGUUUCGUUUCGACUAGGACUAUUUUGGCAUAUAUUUGUAAAGCUCGGUAGUCCUAGUCGAAGUGAAGCGAUCUUAAAGCUUAAAGCUUUUACAUUGGCGCACCGUGUAUUUUUGCAUGAGUCGUCGUUUCAUAGUGCUUCUCCGAAUAACAGUUUGACAGUGUCGAUACUACAAAUAUGUAAUAUUCGGGGCGUAUUAUUACGUCAUCUCGGUCGUUCGUCGCAAUUUCAGCAUAAUAAAUUUAAUUAGCAAUUGCUGCUCCGAAUUCAAAGGUCUGUAUUAAUUAACCCAGAUAGAAUGGGGCCAAAUUAGCCUGUCAUCCAGAGGACACCAAUCCAAUUUAAUUUUAUUGACUGGGAAGAUCGUCCAAAUGAGAUACCGGCGUGGUGUCCAUUAUAUUGACGACAUUGUAUAAUAGUUUCCCCCUGUCGCUUGCCGGAUUCCAGGCCACUAGCACAUUCAUUUCAUUACCCCACUAGAAGCAAAUUGCAGUUUCUAACGAGUUGUCCUUGGUUCUGCUUCCGCAUUGAAGUUCCAUUCUUGUGAUGCACUCGCCAGAUUAGCACUGGCAACUUCAAAGUCAGUGAUGCGCUGGUUGCACAGGGACUGGAGCUAUCUUUUAAAAAAAACCUCGAAACAUCAUUGAAUGAGUAGCACAAAGUUAGCACUGAGCCACCGAAAAUAGAAAUACGGAUGCUAUUUCUCACGAGGAUUACAAGUAAAGCAAUGCGAACGAUUGGAGCGGAGUAUGGAGAAACUGAAAUUAAUCCAGUUGCCCAUGGAGGAUUAAUCACCCACAUACAUGUUCACCAAUGUGACCGAUGACAAGUUCUCGCUUACACUAAACAGGGCAUACAUCAGCACUUCAUGAGAUGCAAUCUGCACUUUCUGCUGGAUAACUUCAAGUGUUCAAGUUGACUUAUGAAGCGCAUGAAGUCCUGUUACUGAAUGAAAGGCAACCGAAAAUUUGAUUAACAGCGAUGAUGGUUCGAAUCGGGUAAUAACACUCGAUGAAACAGAAAUAAAAGCCUUCGAAAU